AACUUGAGUAACAUGCCAUUCCACCUCUGGACUCUAGAAGAAAAAAACACUAAGGUCAUGCUUAAAAUAAAAAAGAGUGAAGGGAUAAGGAUCAUACCAGAGGUAAAACCGCAGACUUUCCCCACCUUUUUAUUAAGGUAUUAGGCAGGUUACAAUUUGACAGUGAGAUCAUUUCUCUGGAACCAGGAAGGCACUGUGGGUUUGUUUUGCCAACACACACUCUGACCCCUGUGAGAGCUUCUGAAUCAGGUGCCCGGUCUUGGUAGGAAGCAGUGAUUACUACUUAUUUUUCAAAGGCUAUUUAAACAGACUCUAGGAGUCAAAAGGGAGACAGAAAAAAAGUUUCAUUUAUUUUCUAACUACAAAAGAACUUGAAAUUCCAUGUUGUAAGAAAGACUUCACCUUCUGCUUACUAACUGGCUUCCUAAAGAACCCAAAAAGUCACGUGCAUAAAGUUGUGCUUUUGUAAUAUGUUUAUGUUUAAUUUUUUUUUUAAUUUAAGUUCCAGAGGACAUAAACAUCACUUGGAUUGCCUAAAUAACGAAUGCUGGUUUAGCCUCUUACCAGGAAAAGUCUUUGCAGAACCUCUGCUUCCACAUCUAUAAAUCCACUUCUUGCCCUCUGGGAGACCUUAUUGAGGUUAAAUAAUCUCCUCUCCCUAAAAGUGUUAAAUCUAGGGUCUGGCACAUAUUGGGAUUCACUAAAUAUUCAUUUCCUUCCUUCCUCCCGACAUUUGGUGAUUGAGGCCAAUGACCAACGCUGUGAUAAAUGGAAAUGGGGAAGAUGAGGAGGAUGAGUAAAAAAUUCUAAUGCAGCUGAGAGGAAUAUUUGGCUGCAAUUCAAUUUCAGAGUUAAUAUAGAGAUAUAGCAUUCAUCAUGUUGUAAGGCAGAAAAAAUAUCAUCUUAGUUAUCUGCUAAGGAGAGCUGGGAAAAGUCAAGAAAAGACAACUUGCGACACUGAUCCUUUGUUUGCUGCUCCAAGCAUUAAAAUUGGUAAACUCACCAUACUCUGUUGCAGCUUAACUGUCUGUUCGACAGUUAAAAAUAAAGAAAUACAGUAACUGGAUCUGUCACAAGAAAAGAUGUAUUGGUCUCAAUGGAAAAAAACCUCCCCUGAAAAAUUAAAGCUUCAUUUGACACAAUGGGUUCUCGGGUUGUUUUCAGGAGACAUGAUAAAAAGCAGAGUGGAGUCAGUCAUAAGUUUCUGACUCAUUACAUAGAAGCCCCAGAGAGCUGAUUAUUAACUAAAAAUGGAACACGGUUCUAUCCCGUAUUGAAGGCAAAACAAGAGGCAGAAUGGAAACACAAAUUUCCCCAUCGAAGCAUACGUGGCCCAAACACGGUGGUCAAGGGCAGGUGUCUUCCACAGUUAACCUGCUUAUGGAAUACGGCUGAUCGCCCAAGAAAAUCACGCGAGUCACUCUCAGUAUGUUGCUACGAGUGGCCGUACUGGUAUGCCAGGGAGAUUCCCUUUCUCACAUGUUUAAAAGGGCAUUUGGGGAAGUAGUCCUUACCCUAAGCUAUUUUAGUUUAGUUUGUCAAAAAUGUAUCAGAGGCUCAAGUAUAACCUCACUAUAAUCUUGCACUGCAGAAAUCAAAGCAAGUAAAAAUUUUGCCAGCAGAUACUAUCUUUUCUCUGCACAGGGUUAAAGUUUAUAAUUUCUGGAGGGAAAGGAUAGUAUCUGGUCACAGAAUUUUGACCUGCCCAGCUGCCUGCAGCAUGUUUGGGGUGAGGGUUACCCUCUCACUUUGGUUAGACUCCCCACUUCUGCUCCCUUUUGCUGGUAUCUAAGCGCAUGGCUGUUUUCCUCAGGUGAAUUCUACCCUUUGUUAAUUGGAUGUUAACAAGGAGCUACACCUGAGAAGUCCCUCUCUGAUGGAAUGAUGAGGUAGGUAGGGAUGGUCAUGGUCACGGGGGUGGUGGCACCUAUGAGAAAGCCCCAUGACUUGAAAGAGAGAGGAAUAAUCAUUCAAUCCUUACUCACACUGAAGGACAGAUGGAUGCAUCUUUUGUCUGGCAAAUGGCAAGCAGAGAAAUGGUGCUGUGGCAUAUAUAGAAUUGGACAUAUAUCAGAACAACAAGUGACAAUCUAUAAAAAUAUGUUUUUAAGUGAAAACAGCUUUGUUAGCAUUUUAAAAGUUUUACAAUCUCCAUUUAAAUAAACAGGACCAUAAGCCCAAAAAGUCCGAAGGCAAACACCUGCUCUUUAGGAACAGGAGCAUCACGACGGACUGUGAAGUUCUGUAAAUAGCACUGUAGAUGCGUCUCAAUAAGUAGAACAGUAACAUAACCUCAAACCAAAACAAAACAGAAGCUUUUUCCCUCCCUCAAAGGAAGAGCCCUGUUCUGGUUCAAAACCUCCUUGUAUUUUUUGGCAUACAAGUUAUUUAAGAAAGAUAGUUCUUCAAAUUACCCUGUUCCAGUCAGUCUAAUCAGAGCCUUGAUUGUCUUUUACUUAAAAACAAUUAAUGAAAUGUUUUAAGAAUUGUAGACUGCUGUUUAUUAAGUCUUCUUAGUGUGCAUAAAUAGUGCUUAGUGGGUUAAUAUUUAACAAGGGAACUCCCCCUGCCUUUCAGUUCUCUUAAGCAUAUGUCUAUGUUAUACAGUAUUUUUUAAAGUACCUACAUUUUGUCUCUAUUUAAAUUAGGCCUAAUGCACACAUGAACAGCCAUAUAGUCAGAAAUAACAUUCUUAGGCCAAGAUUGAAGUACAUACAAAAUAACUUAUAGUUACUUGCUUUUUCCCUCUAAGUCUCUGAGUCUAGGAUCAGGCUUAUCAGGCAGUAUGGUAAUGGUGAGUUUCUUCAGGCACCUGCAACACUCGCCUGUGAGUUUAUCCAGGGCAGAGGCUCCUUCCCAUGUCCCCAGCCUAACCCAGGGCAGGACUCAUGUAAGACUGGCAAUCAUGUCUGUGGAAUAACUGUCUCAGUCCUUGGAUGAUUUUCAUCAUUGAUCCUGUUUAGACAUCAAAUAUUAAGGUUGCUUUAACCAAACCAAGAGGCACGAAAGAGAAACUUCACAGUGGGGUAAAUUCACAGAGUGGUCUCCUAUGUGUAGCUGACAGAAAGGAUGACCAGGUUGAGAAGUUACUGUUAUGCCUGAAUAAGGUGAUAUUAGAUUACUUUAAAAAUGCUGAACAGAACCUUUGAACCUCAAAUACAAUAUAUCUCUGGGGGAAAAAAAGAAAACUUUCUACUUGUACACUACAAAGACAGUGUUGUUUGCUAGCACAAAUGCACUUCUGCUGAGAUACUGCUUUGCUAAACUGCUGCUAAGACACAAUGAGUGACCUUAGAAAUGGGUGUGGAGGUAUACCGGGUGGGAAGCAUCACGUUAACACACAGCACCCACACACUCACUCACGAGUGGGCUUAUCAUCCCUCCAAAAAGCACAAUACUACUGAAACAGAGAUAAGAAAAAACUACAAGAAUUUUGCUUGCUUUUUUUUUUUUUUUUACUUUGUGGCUUUCUGUUACCUGGUACACUGUGUGGCCUGAUGACAUUUAAGUAAUCUGAAAUGUACCAGUUCAAUCAAAGAUUGCUAAAAAGAACAAUCCGUUCUCAUUAGAAAGUACAAC